CAGUAGCCACGGUAAUACGUAGGUCCCGAGCGUUGUCCGGAUUUAUUGGGCGUAAAGCGAGCGCAGGCGGUUAGAUAAGUCUGAAGUGAAAGGCAGUGGCUCAACCAUUGUAGGCUUUGGAAACUGUUUAACUUGAGUGCAGAAGGGGAGAGUGGAAUUCCAUGUGUAGCGGUGAAAUGCGUAGAUAUAUGGAGGAACACCGAUGGCGAAGGCGGCUCUCUGGUCUGUAACUGACGCUGAGGCUCGAAAGCGUGGGGGGCGAACAGGAUUAGAUACCCCGGUAGUCCCUGUCUCUUAUACA
rnacentral:rRNA from 1 species